AUGAUAUAUAAAGUAAAAGAUCACAAGUGACAAAUUCUUAUGGACCAAGUGAUGAAAAAGGCCAAUCUGUCUUCGGUCAACUUAAUAUGUCUUAUUGAAAUUAUCAACAAUAUAAACAUAAGAAGAUAUGGUAUGAUUACCAAUGUAGUAAUUACCAAACAUCUUCUUUGAGACCAUUUGACGUGAUAAAUGAAAUCGUAAACCACCGUACGGCCUUCAAGACCUUCAACAAUGACGAGCAAAACCCAUAUCGUACAGUAAGGAUCCGAAAUGACAAAGUGUGAAACAUUUAAAACAACAACAAAAAAAAAAAAAAAAAACAAAAAAAAAAAAAAAAAACUAACGGAUUGAUUAACGAACAGCAAAAUUCAGAUAUGAUAGCUAAAUAUACAUGACAUCAUUGUAACGUCAUUAAAAUGGCUAAAUGACGUCAUGAAAAAUGAAAAAAUAAAACGAGAAUGAAAUGGCAUUGACAGAACAUCAUUAAAUUAUGCUUUUAUUGCUAAAAUCAAUAUUUAUUUUAUUAACCUUAACCAUCGGCCAUAUCGGCCCAUUGGCAGUUAAAGAACACCUAAAUCGGCC
rnacentral:lncRNA from 1 species